CAUUUGCCCCUCAAAGUGGUGCUGAGCCAUCACUACGCUGUAUUAGACAUGCCAAACGGUUUGACAUGAUUCUAAACAGCCAGAUGUAAAACGGUUUUCGCUCGCUCGCUCCGAGAAAAGCGGAUCAAGGCGAUUCCAUCUGCCCCCAACCACACCGGCCUCCAAGCCGUUUGCCGCCGGUCCCUGCCUCCUCCGUUCGCCGCUCCGGCGGCCGGAGGGGGUGGGGACCCUGGUGCUUCGACUUAGGUUUGUAGUUAGGGUUGGCCUAGUGCUUCCUUGAGGCGUUGUUUCCAUAGAGGAGAUGGCGCCGCGUCGGAAUAAUUUGCCUCUACUCUUCCUCCAUCUCGUUGUCGCUGCAACUGGUGGCGUCGAGGGGCAGAUGGCUUGGUCGUCUCGCCGAUCUCGGGAUCCGGCGAGUUGGGUGCGUGGAUGACGGCAGGCGGCGACGUUCCUCUUCUUCGACUACAUCGGAUGAAGUUGACGGCGUCGAGAUCUGGUGACCACGGGGAAGAUCCCCGGCCUACGUGCCACAAAGACUCGGUCUCGUCGCUUGCGGCGACCCGCUUCAUCAGCUCAAAAAGCAUCUUUGUAUGUGGUGGUGCUCUCCCAGAUCUGGGUAUGGCGGCUGUUCUCAUCUUCUUCCGGCGUUGCCAUGGUGGUGGCGGAGGACGUUUGUGGACUAUGUUUCGGCAAGGCACGAGUUUCUUCAAGGGUGGAAUAAUAGUUUUACCUCUUGUAGAAUUCUUUGUGCAGAGUUGCUUGACAAGUAUUUGUGUCUCGUAUGGUGCCAUAUGUGUAAUCUAUGUAAACAGAUUGUCAAGUGAAAUAUAUGGUUGCUUAAAAAAAACAACCAGAUGUGGGUAUAAAUUUUUGGA